GGUUCCCCAACACGCUACAAGACUCAUCAGACUCUUCUACUCUUCUCCCCUGACACUUACACUAAUGCUUUGAAACCCUAACACUCUGACUCUGUUGCUCAUCCCCAACUCUGUUACUCAUCGUCGACACUUGCACUAUCUCCUCUGCCGGCGCUCCCUCUGUCGUCUCCCUUAACCCGUCUCUGCUGGCGCUCGUAUCCCCUGCGCUCACUACUCACGGUGUCGGUCAGCCAACAGAGGUCGCCUCUCCUUCCUCCGUGCCGCCAUUCUCUGUCCUCCACCCUCAUCAUCUUGCUCAAUCUUCCACUACCUUCGAAGUCCUCACUGCAUGCAUAUGGCAAAACCCUAACACCAAGAGGUUUGCUUGCUUUGCACAGUCAAUGCACGUUUUGACUGUGCCAUCGCUGCCGCUAGAAGAGCACUCAACCGCAACAAAGGCAACGACUGGCCUUCUGCUUUCGGCGCUCAUCGAGCCCGCUAUCUCCGCGCCAUCGCUGCCAAGGUCGUCGAGAGAAAGGAUCACCUCGCUAAGCUUAAAUCCCUUGAUUGCGGAAAACCACUCGAUGAAGCUGCCUGGGACAUGAAUGAUGUUGCUGGUUGCUUCGAGUUUUACGCUGACCUUGCCAAGAACCUCGACGCUAAGCAGAAGGCACCUGUUUCUCUUCCCAUGGAAACUUUCAAGAUUUAUGUCCUCAAAGAAUCCAUUGGUGUUGUUGGAUUAAUCACCCCAUGGAACUAUCCUCUAUUAAUGGCUACAUGGAAGGUUGCCCCUGCUCUGGUUCUUCAUUUUUUUGAUU